AAUAAAUUAAAUUGUGAAUCGCUUUGGAUAAAAGCGUCAGCUAAAUGACAUGUA
rfam:Gasterosteus aculeatus cont1.010793, whole genome shotgun sequence.